AUUGAACGCUGGCGGCAUGCCUUACACAUGCAAGUCGAACGGUAACAGGUUAAGCUGACGAGUGGCGAACGGGUGAGUAAUGUAUCGGAACGUGCCCAGUCGUGGGGGAUAACUGCUCGAAAGAGCAGCUAAUACCGCAUACGACCUGAGGGUGAAAGCGGGGGAUCGCAAGACCUCGCGCGAUUGGAGCGGCCGAUAUCAGAUUAGGUAGUUGGUGGGGUAAAGGCCUACCAAGCCAACGAUCUGUAGCUGGUCUGAGAGGACGACCAGCCACACUGGGACUGAGACACGGCCCAGACUCCUACGGGAGGCAGCAGUGGGGAAUUUUGGACAAUGGACGCAAGUCUGAUCCAGCCAUGCCGCGUGCGGGAAGAAGGCCUUCGGGUUGUAAACCGCUUUUGUCAGGGAAGAAACGCUCUGGGUUAAUACCUCGGGGUAAUGACGGUACCUGAAGAAUAAGCACCGGCUAACUACGUGCCAGCAGCCGCCGUAA
rnacentral:rRNA from 1 species